AUUGAACGCUGGCGGCAUGCCUUACACAUGCAAGUCGAACGGCAGCACGGGUGCUUGCCCCUGGUGGCGAGUGGCGAACGGGUGAGUAAUACAUCGGAACAUGUCCUGUAGUGGGGGAUAGCCCGGCGAAAGCCGGAUUAAUACCGCAUACGAUCUACGGAUGAAAGCGGGGGACCUUCGGGCCUCGCGCUUUAGGGUUGGCCGAUGGCUGAUUAGCUAGUUGGUGGGGUAAAGGCCUACCAAGGCGACGAUCAGUAGCUGGUCUGAGAGGACGACCAGCCACACUGGGACUGAGACACGGCCCAGACUCCUACGGGAGGCAGCAGUGGGGAAUUUUGGACAAUGGGCGAAAGCCUGAUCCAGCAAUGCCGCGUGUGUGAAGAAGGCCUUCGGGUUGUAAAGCACUUUUGUCCGGAAAGAAAUCCUUGGCCCUAAUACGGUCGGGGGAUGACGGUACCGGAAGAAUAAGCACCGGCUAACUACGUG
rnacentral:rRNA from 1 species